rnacentral:rRNA from 1 species
AUUGAACGCUGGCGGCAGGCCUAACACAUGCAAGUCGAGCGGGGUUUUCGGACCUAGCGGCGGACGGGUGAGUAAUGCGUAGGAAGCUACCCGAUAGAGGGGGAUACCAGUUGGAAACGACUGUUAAUACCGCAUAACGUCUACGGACCAAAGUGUGGGACCUUCGGGCCACAUGCUAUCGGAUGCGCCUACGUGGGAUUAGCUAGUUGGUGAGGUAAUGGCUCACCAAGGCGACGAUCUCUAGCUGGUUUGAGAGGAUGAUCAGCCACACUGGAACUGAGACACGGUCCAGACUCCUACGGGAGGCAGCAGUGGGGAAUAUUGGACAAUGGGCGGCAAGCCUGAUCCAGCCAUGCCGCGUGUGUGAAGAAGGCCUC